CAACAUUUUUCGAAUUUCUAGAUUAACCGUUCACGAGCACAGAAGUGGCUUCUUUUUAUGGUUAAUCAAGUGACUAAAUUAAUUGUACUUAAUUUUACCACCACGUAUAUGUGAGGCUAAAAGCAUUUUGUACUUAAUUUUAAAAUUAGCAAUGUGCUUUGGAUGUUUUUUCGGCGAAUUUGGUUAUUAUACGACAAUGCGGCAUUUAACAUUAUAUGGUAAGUAACCUAUCAACAUUCUAAACUAUAGACGCCUGUGGCCAUCUCUACCGGAUAAUCAGGAGUGUUUCUCAUAUCUACCUAUCAUGAAUACCUCUUCCGAUUACAUGCGUGGAUACAGGACUUCGUUUAGGAAGACCGGGGGGAAGCAAUUUUUUUGUGAUCUUUCAGAAAAUUCGGUCGUCUAGUAGGCUAGAAUUAAAAGCAGUAGUGACUUAGAUAAAAGCUUCAAACAGUACGUACAGUGUUUGAUUAGAUAAAGAGUGCGCGUGGUGAAAUGAACACUCUUAUAAGGACUUGGAUAGAAAAUAGAGCUCGAAUGAUAAAAAUUAAUAAUUAAUAUCAUGACGACCUAACUAUAAAUUGUGUCUUCUAGCGGGAGUCAAUUUUUGGUCCUUUUUAUUACUCAAUUUUAGUUUGCUUAUUUAAUGAAGCUGGACUUAUCGGUCGUCAUUUUAUCUUCGCAUACAUACUGCUUUUCUAUAUUCGGGUUUUGAUGUAAACUUAUUAAAUGGAAUAAUUAGCAGCGAUUUGAUAAGGUACUCAUAAUGGUCAACAUACAACGAAUUAUAGCUCAAUACGAAGAAAACUAUAUACACACGUGGAUGCCAAUAAGAAAAGGGUGGAUAGAAUGGUAGGGCACAGGAGUAAAAACGGUUUACUAUGAAGAAGGAGUAAAAUUAUAGAAUAAAUUUGUGCUUUUGAUUACAGAUGGAAUGCAUAUCGAAAAGAAAAAUGAGUUUGCUGCUGUUUAUCAUAAAGGAAUGGUUAUGGAAUUUGCACCUUGUACAUGGAUGUAAUACUUGAGGAAGGUUGAGUUCCAUCAGGUCCGAAUAUCGAAUUCAUACACGACAAAAUGUACCAGCAACCUGACGUAACGACAGAACGUACCAUAUAAAAAAAACGACUGACUGCCUGUGAAGAGUCUGCUAAUUGCUUGAAGAUAUUUUGGAUCCUGCGAAACGUAGCACUUUUAUUCACCGAUAUUUAUUUUUUUAUUAAGUAAUUAUUUAAGCAGGCUGAGUCCUAUAGUUUAUUCAGGCGUUGGAUUGGCAGAAUGGCCAUUUUGGUGUGCUCAAAAUCGUCAAAUGAUGGUCUCAAAUGUCAGAAUGAGAAUGCCACUGAUCAUGAGGAGACAAUAAUUUAACAGGCAUCCCCUCUCCAUUUCUUUAUCAUGUAUAUAUCAAUAUUAUGGUAACUAAGGGCCAUUUCCAGGUAAACGUGGUACCAAUCUUACAUACAAAAUUAUGAAGAUGAGGGAAGGUGGGAAGCGUCUUGAUAUAGAAAAACGAAAAUAUAACAAAAUGCAUAAUAGGUUUGGUAAGAGGAAAGACGAAAUACAAAAGGAAGCAGGAGAAACUAAUGAUAGAGACGUAGACAGAGAGUAAAACUGCAUUAAAACGUGUAUCGAUUUUGAUGCUAGAGAUCUUAAAAAAGAACGAAGGUAGGAGCCCUGGAUAGAAAGCGAGGUUGUAGGAUUAUUAAUAACAAGAUUAAAAAAGUUACAAGGCAAAUAAGUAGGAAAUAAUUUGGAAGUGUAGAAUUGGGGGGCAAUUGAGGAAAAGUGGAUUCAUAUGAGGUGUAAAGAAGUAAAACGAAUGUUUGCAGCAGGUAAAAUAGAUGAGGUUUAUAAAUAAUUAAAAGAAAUUUCAGAAGAAAAGGUACAGCAGUUGCAAUUUAAGAAACGAGGCAGGUCAAGAGUUAGGAGAUGUAUUAGAGAAUAACGGUAUGCCAUAAACACGCCAUAAUGAUAGAAGAAGUUGAUUAAGCAUUAAAAAGAUUAAAGAGUAAUAAGACUGCUUUAGGACUGAUGACUCUAUGAUCAUUCCGUAAUCUAGUGUCGAUACCGCUUCACUUUUUACUUAUAGGUACCUCGGUUGUAACAUUAAAUUAUUAUUAAAGAUAUUUUAAAUG